ACGCAGCAGGCGAGAAACUUUACAAUGUGCGAAAGCACGAUAAGGGAACUCUGAGUGCCUCCUAAGGAGGCUGUUCAGGUGUCUAAAAGCACCUGGAGUAAGGGCUGGGUAAGACCGGUGCCAGCCGCCGCGGUAACACCGGCAGCCCAGGUGGUAGCCACUUUUAUUGGGUCUAAAGCGUCCGUAGCCGGUUGAGUAAGUUCCUUGGAAAUUUGGCUGCUCAACAGUCAAGCUUCCAGGGAAUACUGCUCGACUUGGGACUGGGAGAGGUCAGAGGUACUCCAGGGGUAGGGGUGAAAUCCAUUAAUCCCUGGGGGACCACCGGUAGCGAAGGCGUCUGACCAGACCAGGUCCGACGGUGAGGGACGAAGGCUAGGGUCGCGAACC
rnacentral:rRNA from 1 species